rnacentral:rRNA from 1 species
AUGGUCAAGAAAGGAAUCCAGUAUGUCGUGGUGGAUGCCUUCACGGCCCAGCCGUUCAAGGGCAACCCGGCGGCGGUGUGCUUCCUGGAGGACGACGCGGCCGCCCCCGCGGGGGACGGGCGGUGGAUGCAGUCCGUCGCCGUCGAGUUCAACCUCUCCCAGACGGCCUUCUUCUCCCGUGACUCGUCCUGCGCAGCCGACGCCACCACGCCGCGGUUCCACCUCCGCUGGUUCACCCCCGUCACCGAGGUCGCGCUCUGCGGCCACGCAACGCUGGCCACCGCCCACUUCCUCUUCACGUCUGUCCUCGCGGAGCGCCAUGGCGUGGUUGAGUUCGCGACCAAGUCCGGGGUCCUGACCGCCAAGAAGGUUCCUGCACCGGAGGCGGAGGAGCAGGGGAAGCUGUUCAUUGAGCUGGACUUCCCCAUGAGUGAUUAUGUGGGUUGCGAUCCCGCCGACGAGCUGCCGUCCAUCCCGGAGACGCUCAACGGCGCGCCCGUCGUCAGUGUUCACAAAUCAGUGGCCACCAACGACUUCAUUGUUGAACUUUCAUCAGGAAAAGAGGUCGCCGAUGUCCUUCCUAACAUCGAAGAAAUAAGAAAGUGUGCCGGCAGAGGUGUGAUUGUUACAGCACCGGCGCCUGCUGGAUCGGGUUAUGACUUCUUCACACGCUUCUUCUGCCCAAAAUUUGGGAUUGAUGAGGAUCCCGUAUGUGGCAGUGCACACUGUGUUUUGGCACCCUACUGGGGUGGAAAGCUGGGGAAGCAAAAACUGAUAGCGUUUCAGGUAUCUCCAAGGAGUGGGGCACUAUACCUGGAGCUGGAUGUUGCGAAUCAGCGAGUGCGGAUUCAGGGAGAAGCUGUUACUGUCAUGGCUGGGACACUCUUCGCUUAG